ensembl:lncRNA
AGUGUCUUGCUCGGGCCCAGGGACAAGAUGAUCUCCACUCCCACCCCCUGAACGGCAUUUCCAGACAAACAACUCUGAACCAUACAGUCUGUAUAAUUAAGCUGGUCCUAUUAACCAGUUCACUGACUUAUUUACAAUGAUGGUUUCGGUGAGCAAACGCCCAUGUAAUGCAGUCACUUUAUGCCAACCACAAUGUCAACUCCACUGAUUUUGAAACCCAUUUUUCUAUAUAUGACAUUACACUGCUUACACGAUCGCAAACUAGUUAAACAUCACAUGCUUUUGAGAGUCAAGAGCUGCUUAUCAGUAAGGUGUUCUUACCUCUGGGGAGAGGAUAGUCCAGCUAUUUGUUGAGGACGCACUGCUGCCGGUGCUGUGGUCAGACAUCGCCCCCACGUGGAUAUCGACAGCACCUGAAAUACAGUGAUUUAAUCUGUCGGGGUGAGUCAUCUCACCUGUAUGGGGAUCUUGACACCAGACGCUUUUAAAUUAGCACGAUUUACACACAGUCGCACCUGUACGGUUAUAAAACACCUUAUUCUGCAGGCCUCGGCGCUCUCAUAAAAUAGCUGCCUGACAAGCUAGCGGAUGCAAUACAGCGUUACAGUGACAAUAGGCGUAUACCAACAUGAUUCAUCGUUUCACUAUCUCAGCGGCAGUCACAGACAAAAACGUGACAACCGUUAGUUUCACAUGCUUACUACUACCCCUAUGCUCGUAUACCGUACUAUGAAGCCUUAAGUGUUCGACAUAUUACUAAAGCCUGUUCCCUCAACAACCAGGACAUUCACUUAGUGUUACAUAACACAGACGUGGGAACAACACACAGUUAGUUAAGUGUUGUCACCACGAAAGACAGGAGAGUUUCUAUCUACUACACUCUGGAACAAAGACAUAAGAAACGGCUUUUCAUUUCGCCUGACGACCCCAAAAACGUGACCAAAAAUGGCCAAACAGCUUGAAGGAGAAAGUUAGCGACGCUUCCAGACUAGUGGAGGGUUGGCCACACAACUGCGCCAUCCCAGACAGAGUAUCCUUAACUAUUGUUAUCAUCAUUGAAAUCAUUCGGUUUUCCGAAGAGAGAUGUGAACUUUAAGGCCUCUGCAGUUGACCGCCAAAGUGAUGAUGUGGUUGUCACCACAACACCCGUUCCCCACAACCAGACCACCUCUGCCCCUACUGAAGCUGGUGGUGGAGCAAGUGAAGAUGCUGUGGCUACUACCCCAGCACCUAAUCCACACAACCAGACAACUUCUGCACA